rnacentral:rRNA from 1 species
GAUCAACGCUAGCGGCAGGCAUAAUACAUGCAAGUUGAACGGGAUUAGUUGUAGCAAUAUGACUAUGAGAGUAGCGCACGGGUGCGUAACGCGUAUGCAACCUGCCUCCAACUGGGGAAUAGCCCCUCGAAAGAGGGAUUAAUACCGCAUAAAAUAGUGAAUAGGCAUCUAUUUACUAUUAAAACUACGGUGGUUGGAGAUGGGCAUGCGUGACAUUAGCUAGUUGGUAGGGUAAUGGCCUACCAAGGCUACGAUGUCUAGGGGGUCUGAGAGGAUGUCCCCCCACACUGGUACUGAGAUACGGACCAGACUCCUACGGGAGGCAGCAGUAGGGAAUAUUGGUCAAUGGAGGCAACUCUGAACCAGCCAUGCCGCGUGCAGGAUGACGGCCCUAUGGGUUGUAAACUGCUUUUGUACGGGAAGAAACCUCAUUACGUGUAAUGAGUUGACGGUACCGUGAGAAUAAGGAUCGGCUAACUUCGUGCCAGCCGCCGCGGUAA